UCCCUGUGUGCAGAUUGGGGGGAGGAAGAGGCUGAAGGGGGGGAGGCACAGGCUGACACAAUGUGAUCCAUGUCAAAGCUGCAAUUAUUCCUGGUGAACUUCACCGGUUCUCUUCCUUCCCAGUAAUGAACUGUCUGGUAGGAUAUCAGGUUCUGGGGGACUCUCGUCUUUGGCUCCCUUUUGCUGGAUCGGAAGAGUUUCAUUCGCUCUAGUUGGAAUUCAGCGACUUUUGUCUCCAGCUUGGAAACUUUCUUGCUGCUUGUUUCCCAGCCAGCACACAAGUCUGAUGUGAGCACUGUAGUUUGUACCCAGCCUUCCUGUCUAAGUGACUGAUGCUAAGUGACUGAUGCUAAGUGACCACAAAGAACUACAGACACCCCCAUAAAUACAGCUCUGCGAGCAUCUAGCACUGCUGUAAUCAUGAAGGCUAGGAAAGGAGAGCCACAAAGACUUUCCCUCCGACCUAUCUGAAUCGGCACUGCCUACGGAAAUGUGGAAUAAAGCAUUUUACAGCCAUUAA